rnacentral:rRNA from 1 species
CUACUCCUACGGGAGGCAGCAGUGGGGAAUAUUGCACAAUGGGGGAAACCCUGAUGCAGCGACGCCGCGUGAGUGAAGAAGUAUUUCGGUAUGUAAAGCUCUAUCAGCAGGGAAGAAAAUGACGGUACCUGACUAAGAAGCCCCGGCUAACUACGUGCCAGCAGCCGCGGUAAUACGUAGGGGGCAAGCGUUAUCCGGAUUUACUGGGUGUAAAGGGAGCGUAGACGGCCAAGCAAGCCAGGGGUGAAAGCCCGGGGCCCAACCCCGGGACUGCCCUUGGAACUGCAUGGCUGGAGUGCGGGAGGGGCAGGCGGAAUUCCUGGUGUAGCGGUGAAAUGCGUAGAUAUCAGGAGGAACACCGGCGGCGAAGGCGGCCUGCUGGACCGCGACUGACGUUGAGGCUCGAAAGCGUGGGGAGCGAACAGGAUUAGAUACCCGGGUAC